rnacentral:rRNA from 1 species
UGGUGGAGUGAUUUGUCUGCUUAAUUGCGAUAACGAACGAGACCUUAACCUGCUAAAUAGCCAGGCUAGCUUUGGCGGGUCGCCGGCUUCUUAGAGGGACUAUCGGCUCAAGCCGAUGGAAGUUUGAGGCAAUAACA